rnacentral:rRNA from 1 species
UGGGCGUAAGCGCGCGCAGGUGGUUUCUUAAGUCUGAUGUGAAAGCCCACGGCUCAACCGUGGAGGGUCAUUGGAAACUGGGAGACUUGAGUGCAGAAGAGGAAAGUGGAAUUCCAUGUGUAGCGGUGAAAUGCGUAGAGAUAUGGAGGAACACCAGUGGCGAAGGCGACUUUCUGGUCUGUAACUGACACUGAGGCGCGAAAGCGUGGGGAGCAAACAGGAUUAGAUACCCUGGUAGUCCACGCCGUAAACGAUGAGUGCUAAGUGUUAGAGGGUUUCCGCCCUUUAGUGCUGAAGUUAACGCAUUAAGCACUCCGCCUGGGGAGUACGGCCGCAAGGCUGAAACUCAAAGGAAUUGACGGGGGCCCGCACAAGCGGUGGAGCAUGUGGUUUAUUU